rnacentral:ncRNA from 1 species
AGGAGCCGGAUGAAUCGAGAGAUUCACGUCCGGUUCUGGGAGGGCCUGUGGGUGCGAUUCCCAUGGGCUACUCACC